rnacentral:rRNA from 1 species
GCCAUCAACGGAUCAUCACCUUGAAUACACCAGUUCCCAACGUAUCUCUGAAGUUAAGCAACGUUACGUGUGGUUGGUAUCCGGAUGGGUGACCAUCUGAACAAUUGCGUGCUUAUGUCU